rnacentral:piRNA from 1 species
UAAAAACACGGGGAACAACCUGAGUGCCUG